UACGUAGGGGGCAAGCGUUGUCCGGAAUCAUUGGGCGUAAAGAGCGUGUAGGCGGCCAGGUAGGUCGGUUGUGAAAACUGGAGGCUCAACCUUCAGAGGUCGACCGAAACCAUCUGGCUAGAGUCCGGGAGAGGAGAGUGGAAUUCCUGGUGUAGCGGUGAAAUGCGCAGAUAUCAGGAAGAACACCCGUGGCGAAAGCGGCUCUCUGGAACGGUACUGACGCUGAGACGCGAAAGCGUGGGGGAGCGAACAGG
rnacentral:rRNA from 1 species